rnacentral:rRNA from 1 species
UAAUACGUAGGAGGCGAGCGUUGUCCGGAGUUACUGGGCGUAAAGCGUACGCAGGCGGUCCAAUCAGUCUGUAGGGACAGGGCACAGCUUAACUGUGUCAGGCUUAUGGAAACUGUUGGACUUGAGGGCUUCAGAGGGAUGGGGAAUUCCGGGUGGAGUGGUGAAAUGCGUAGAGAUCCGGAAGAACACCAAAGGCGUAGGCACCAUCCUGGGGAGUCACUGACGCUCAUGUACGAAAGCUAGGGGAGCGAACGGGAUUAGAUACCCCGGUAGUCCUAGCCGUAAACGAUGACCACUAGAUGUACGGGGGAUCGACCCCUUGUGUGUCGUAGCAUACGCGAUAAGUGGUCCGCCUGGGGAGUACGGUCGCAAGAUUA